rnacentral:rRNA from 1 species
GACGAACGCUGGCGGCGUGCUUAACACAUGCAAGUCGAACGGAAAGGCCCUGCUUUUGUGGGGUGCUCGAGUGGCGAACGGGUGGGUAACACGUGAGUAACCUGCCCUUGACUAUGGGAUAACUUCAGGAAGCUGGGGCUAAUACCGGAUAGGAGCUCCUGCUGCAUGGUGGGGGUUGGAAAGUUUCGGCGGUUGGGGAUGGACUCGCGGCUUAUCAGCUUGUUGGUGGGGUAGUGGCUUACCAAGGCUUUGACGGGUAGCCGGCCUGAGAGGGUGACCGGCCACAUUGGGACUGAGAUACGGCCCAGACUCCUACGGGAGGCAGCAGUGGGGAAUAUUGCACAAUGGGCGGAAGCCUGAUGCAGCAACGCCGCGUGCGGGAUGACGGCCUUCGGGUUGUAAACCGCUUUCGCCUGUGACGAAGCGUGAGUGACGGUAAUGGGUAAAGAAGCACCGGCUAACUACGUG